rnacentral:rRNA from 1 species
AUGAAAAUAAUCCAUGAAGCUAUUGACAUGAUACGUGAGUUGAUGAAGUAUAUUGACUCUUCUCCUUCAAGACUUCAAGAUUUCAAUACAAUUGCAAGUGGGAUGGGUCUACGUGCAAAGAAAGGCAUCUCUGUUGAUACACCAACCAGAUGGAAUUCAACCUGGAAAAUGCUUGUAGAAGCAUUGACGUACAAAUCUGUUCUCACUAGUUAUGCCAACAGAAAGAUGAUAGAUUCUCCAAGUGAGGAGGAAUGGGAGAAGGCAAAAGCUAUUUGUGAGUUUCUAAAAGCUUUCGAAGAGCUUACUUUGAUUGUUUCAGCUCAUACAUUGAAAGAUCCGGGUUGG